AUUGAACGCUGGCGGCAGGCCUAACACAUGCAAGUCGAACGAGUGGCGUACGGGUUAGUAAGGUCUGGGACACUUCCUGAUGGAUGGGGUUAACUACUGGGAACGGUAGCUAAUAACGCCUACCAUCAGAUGGGCCCAUAUGGGAUUAGCUUGGUGGUGGGGUAACGGCUCACCAGGGCGACGAUCCCUAGCUGGUCUGAGAGGAUGACCAGCCACAUGGGAACGGAGACACGGUCCAGACUCCUAAGGGAGGUAGCAGUGGGGAAGAGUGCAAAAUGGGAGAAAGCCUGAUGAAGACAUGCGGCGUGUAUGAAGAAGGCCUUAGAGUUGUAAAGUACUUUCAGCGGGGAGGCGUUACCCGCAGAAGAAGCACCGGCUAACUCCGUGCCAGCAGCCGCGGUAAUUC
rnacentral:rRNA from 1 species